UUAACUAUUAUAUAGUACUCAGACAGCAAAGAUUCAAGGGUUUGAUUCCUCUGGCCGGCCCGCGAAGGCCAGCCAAAGCAACUAAGUUUGGUAUACAAAGGGUGAGAAUGGGACCCGCAAGGGUCACCGAUUCUUUAAUGAUCCUUCCGCAGGUUCACCUACGGAAA
rnacentral:misc_RNA from 1 species